CUGCCUGGGCAGGGGGUUGGACUAGAAGGCCUCCAAGGUCCCUUCCAACUCUGUUAUUAUUAUAAUAAAUAAAUCACUUUCUUUUGCUUUUCCAAAGAUUGCUCAUCUCCCAGGUCUUUCUCAGCAUAUCAACUUUCCUUGGCUUUGUAAAUAUUUCAUGACAGUUUUAGUGUCCCUGGCUAAGUGUAUUUGGGUGAGAAACUUAGUUUGACCCGUAAAUUCUCAUUCAGGCGUAAAGUCCAGCGCUGUUGGCAUGUGUCCAGUAUGUGUCCAUGUCUCUUGUUUUCUUAGAUGUUUUCUUAUUCUUGGGCCUUACAUCCUGGCCCUAAAAUUCUUGGAAGGCUAUAUGAUAGCAAAGAACACUUAUCAUCCUUAAGGAAAGCAGUAGUGGAAACAAGGUGGAGAGCAGAGAGGCAGAGGAAGAGGAGGAGCCUAGUGCACGCGUGUGAAGAGUUGCCAGAAGGCAAGAGCAGCUAAAGGAAAAAGGACGACUUAGGAGUAAGGCCAGGAGAUGUUUGGCCCCUCUCAUAAGGCUUAAAAGAGCAGCAGCCACAGGGCUUUGCCAAGAAAAGCCUUUGGCAGGGUGCCGAAGAGGACAAAGCUUUUUGAUAAGGCUGAAGGACUUUCUGAAGGAUUUGUUUUGGAAUUAAUUUGGACUAAGCUGAGAAUAAAGUAAUUCUCAGCUGUUCUAAUAAAAUACAUUUGUUUAGGACUGAUUGUGUCUGGUAAUAACGACUUGGGCCUAAGUCACAACAGUUUCUUUGCACUGCACCGAAAAACAGUGUCAUCUCAACAGUUAUCUCAAACCACAUGUGUAUGAAAUUAAUACAUAUUUCUAAUGCAUAUUUUCUUGUUUUUUUUUACAGGGCUAGAUGCAUCAGGAAUUCUGACAUUCCAUGAGGAAAUAUGCCAUAUUUAUACCAACACUAUAUCCCUAACAAAUACAUAAUAAAAGAGAGUGUGCUGGAAAGGACGACCGAGGGGGACUGAAGUCUGAAAGGGAUGGAAGAGAGAAUGGCCUUAUUCCAUAUUGCCCCAGAAGACAGGAGCAGAAAAGAAUCAUUGGGCCAAAAUUACAAGGAAGAUGGUACAAGCUAAAUUUCAGAAGGACUUUCCAGGCCAUCCUGGGCUUACAUUCAAUUGCUAAAAUCCCCAAAAUUAUGAUCCUGGAGGGACCGAAUGCUUCCAGCACAGUGUAUCCCACAAAAGAUGAAGUAAACAGACAAGUAAGAGCAAAGAUCCAGGAGAAACAAGAUGAUAGGCAUUCUGUCACAGAGCCAUUUUUCUUCUUCAGAGAUAUACACAAUUCCAAAGAUAGAUAAGUAAUAAAUAAAGCAGUUGAGGAUGGAGAAUAUUGAUUGGCACCAAGCUGUUAGUUGGCCAGGAAGAUGGAAAGUAGUGACUACCUCCAAGGAAAGAGCCGUGUUCAAAUGUUGGGCUCUGAGACAGAUACGGUUGGCCCCACCAUUCCAACAAUGAUGCAAUCCGAGAAGCCUCUAAGACCAAAUGGAAAUUGCCCCAAAUAACCACCAAGAUAACUGAGCAAUAGCACUUAGACUUAUAUACCGCUUCACAGUUCUUUACAGCCCUCUCUAGAUGAAUUUUGUCCCCAACAAUCUGAGUCCUCAUUUUACUGACCUCGGAAGAAUGGAAGGCUGAGUCUACCUUGAGCCAGUGAGAACUACACUGCAACUACAUCGCAAAAAAGGCUUUAAGAGUUGUAAACCUACUCUUACGUAGCUUCUCCAGAAACACUACACUGCUAACCAGAGCUAACUACCAAAACAUUUGCUAGACCAAUUCUUGAAUACAGCUCGCCUGUCUGGAACCCAUACCACAUUUCAGACAUCAAUACAAUUGAACGUGUCCAGAAAUAUUUUACAAGAAGAGUUCUCCACUCCUCUGAAUACAACAAAAUACCUUAUGCGACCAGACUUGAAAUCUUGGGUUUAGAAAACUUAGAACUCCGCCGCCUUCGACAGAACCUGUGUUUAACUCAUAGAAUCAUCUAUUACAAUGUCCUUCCUGUUGAAGACUACUUCAGCUUCAAUCACAACAAUACAAGACCGUUUCAAUCUUGAUUGCGGAAAAUAUGACUUCUGUAACAGAGUUAUUAAUGCUUGGAAUACACUACCUGACUCUGUGGUAUCUACUCAAAAUCCCCAAAGCUUUAACCAAAAACUCUCUACUAUUGACCUCACCCCAUUCCUAAGAGGUCUGUAAGGGGUGUGCAUAAGAGCACAAAUGUGCCUGUCCAAUUGUUUCCUUUCAUUAUAUUCAAUUAAUAUAGUUAUUACAUACUUAUGCUCAUAUAUAUAUGCUUAUAUAUUAUAUAGUUAUUUUCAUGCUUAUGCUUAUAUAUACUAUUGUGACAAAUAAAUAAAUAAAUAAAAAAUUGAAAACAAAUGAUACACAAUACUUAAUACUACACAUAUUGACGGAGGUACAUAUAGCAUAUGUGCAAAAUUGGAAAAAAGAGAACCCACCAACAGAGGAAGAUUUAAUUAAGAAAAUUCUAGAUGCGCUGAGAUGGAUAAACUCAAAAAAAAAAUCAAAGAAAAAGAAGAUACAGAAUAUUAUAAGGUCUGGUAUAGAUGGUAUGAAUGGUUAGAAAA